ACACACACAUUUAGGUCUUGUUUUCACCCUAGCAGCCGUCAUGUAGCAGCAGCAGCAGCCAUUGUAUUAUAUCUUAUUCUAUUUACUUAUUCUUUUCACAAUCUUUCUGAAGUUUUGAUCUCUUGGUCUGCAAAUCAUUUUGUUUCAUCGAAGUUUCAUUCAUUAAUUUUGGGUUUGGAUUUAAAAUGGAUCUUCUGGAUGGAUGGGAUCUUAGAGAUGGUUUUACCUCUCUCCAGUUGUUUUAGUUUUCGAUCGUGGUUUUUCUGUUUAAAUCUGAAGAUAAUAUGUAAAGAAGUUGAUGAGCAAAAAGUUCUAUUAUCGAGUGUCAGAUUUAGAAAUGUCAAAGAAAAUCUUGGUUUGUUAUUAGAGCAGGAGCUUGGAGCUUACAGGAAAAUAAGGUUGCUUCGUCAAAACAGAAGUCAAACAAUGCGAAAGACCAUCUUAAAAAUUCUAUCACAAGUUGUUUACGAUGAAGAAGAUAGUGUUGUGCAUAUAAACAUGAUUCGAAUUGCAAAAGUGAGGGGAUCAGGAGAAUCUGGAUAUGUAGAUCUAAACGAGUGUCUUCAAUCUUUAUAUAAAGCAAAAGAGACUAUGGUGAUGAGUGAGAACAAGAAUGACUAUGGUUCAGUUUGUAAUACGCUAGCCGAGGCUCAUUGCUUACGCACAUUCUGUAACCAAGAGGCAAGACCAAACUCGAAGGUACUACCCCAUAGCAGAUCUGAAUAUUUACGCUUGUGUUCAUAUACUAGUAGUAUAUCAUAAUAAGGAAGUGACAAUUUUGAACAUGGGCGUAGCAUAGUGGGGGCGGGAGGAGGCGGCCGACCCCCCGAACUUCUCGCUCAGUUGUGGAGAGUAUGUAGUUUUCGUAUAGAAAUUUUUGGGUAUACAUGAUUUUGACCCUCCGAUUUUAUAGAAAUUUUUGGGUAUAUACGUUUUCGAGCCACCAGUCGGAAAUCUCAAGCUUUACCACUGAUUUUGAACCUUUUACUUGGUACUGGUUAUGCUUUAUCUCAAAUGGACCAAUAGAAAAAAGUUAGCUAAAAAACGGGUUGAAAGUUUUUGAGUCUUUUUUUAAUGCUUACAACCAUCUAAAUCGUCUUUGUUCAAAGAUUCAGGUUCGUAUUUUAACAUUAUUGGUUUUCUAGUCGUAAUUAAUAAAAUUGGCAAAUCUGUGUUGAUGGGUCACCCGUAAUUUAAAAUGUUACGUAUCAAUUAAUUUUUGCUUAACCCCUGGACUAUCUUGCUGCUUAUACAUUUUAUCAAGUCUUUUAUCUUGUAUUAAAAGCUUUUUAUUGAAGAUAUUGAGAAAGCUUUGGCGUUAUGGUCGAACCAAAAACAACCCCCUGAAACUGUGUUGUUGUAUCAUGUUCGUGACUUAUUAUCUUAUUAUUACUGAAGGUUCAUAUUCUUGUGAUCCUUAUUAUUUGUUUGUUUGUUUGGUGUGCCUCGUUUAUGAUGUCUUUUGUUGUAGGGUUACAUGGGAUUUCAUUCUCGCGUACAUGAGUUGAUCAUACGUGCUUAUAAGUUCAAGUACAAAAAACAUUUUUCAGACAAGUGUUUGACCAUGCUUCACGAGUAGAUGAGGCAUUCAUUGAUACACUUUCAAAACACUUCGAAUCGUUUAACUAUGUGGACGUCUGGGAAAAGUGUUUGGAAAAAUAAAAGACACCAACAGUUGAUUUUCAACAGUUUCGUUUAACCAUCUCUACUUUAUCUUUCCCAAACAGUGUUGUUCAACCAUCUCAACAUUCAACAGAUGAUCAUAUCAAGGAUAUUGCUUCUAAGCACAGUACUCUUCUUUAUGCCAAAGAAUCCUAUAAGGCGCGCUACAAACUUUUUAAAAAGGAUUUCGUUCACGAAAUGGGGCCCACAGAUUUGCCCAUUGGGAGUCGGACACGUAGAUAUAAGGUUACGAGUAUCCGUAUGCAUCCUUCAGCUGCAACGGCUUGGUCAAAUGCAGAGGAUUCAAGCUACUUUGACGUUAUUCUGACGCCGUGGAAUGUGCUUUCUCGUUAUCUUGAAAGCCUACUUCAAGUAGAAUUUUCAAUUAGCAACUAUCCGAGAGAUUGUUGGAAAGGGUUCUAAGGCUGGAGAUCAUUUACUUUGUGGAAAGGAUAAAUCUAUUUUACAAGGCUUGCCCAACUUCUCCUUCUCAGUCAGCUUCCUUACCGCCUUAGGUCUGCGAUUUAAUCUUCAUUUCUCUGUGUUGGUGGGUCAGCUAGGUGUUGAAAACGAAAAGGGUUACACAAAUUCUCAGGUAUAUUGUAUCCCAAUAAUGGAGGGUUAUGUCAAGGUGGAAGUGGAUGAUAUGGUUGAUAAACAUAAGAAGUUGGAAGUCUAUAUAGUUGCCAAAACGAGUGAAGUUGCAUUGGUUGAAGAUUUGGUAUAUCAAAUCGUUCAAUGACUAAGAUAUGCUACAAGGCUUUUAAACCAAGGGACACCAAGCAUGUCACCUAGUGCCCCAAUAAUGGACACGAGUCGUGUGUCACAUAGUCGUAGA